CCCGGGCCAUACAUGACCCUCAAUUCACGCCCGUGCGGCCCCUCUGCGACGCUUGAGCGUGAUUUCACGUGGAUCAAACCCUGUUUCUGCUCUGCUUUGAUUCUUUUGGACCAGGCCGCACUCUGGGACUCCUCUAACACUAUUUAAAGGACUCUGGGACUCUAGGUUUUGCAUCCCUGGCAGAGAAGAGCAUAGCAAUA
rnacentral:lncRNA from 1 species